UUUACUUCCCAAACUAUUUGUUUGAUUUUUUUUUGUAGAAGCUGGAAUUUGUGCAGCUGUUUGUAAUUUGUUAUGAUAAGAAUCAUCUAGUAAAUAUGUUAGCUCAACCUCAAAAGAGUAACCACCCCUCUGCUUAAAAGAAAUGGUACUUCCUGCUUUCAUAAACAGUCAUGUGCAUAGUUUAGCAAGGCCUGAUGCCUCUGGAGCUUUUUCGUUUUGAGCACCAUUGAAUCAGUCCUUACAGAAGUACUGUGAAUCUUGUGGCCUCAUUCUGAACAAAAGGGAUUAGGAAAAAAUCAUUUGAUAAUAAGACUUUGGAAAGCAAGGGCAGGCAAUCUUGGUUGUGAAUAUUUUCUGAUUUUUCCAGAAAUCAAGCAGAAGAUUGAGCUGCUGAUGUCAGUUAACUCUGAGAAGUCGUCCUCUUCAGAAAGGCCAGAGCCUCAACAGAAAGCUCCAUCUGCACCACCACCUCCACCUCCGCCCCCACCUCCGCCCCUGCCAGAGCCAGCACCACCAGAACCAGAGGAGGAGAUUCUGGGAUCUGAUGAUGAGGAGCAAGAAGACCCUGCAGAUUAUUGCAAAGGUUUGUGUAAUUAAGCACUAUAUAAAAAGUUGAAUGUUAAAUAGUAAACAUCUAUAUAGCCCUUGACAACUUUGGUCCUCAAGAGCCACUUGAAUGGUCUUCUUUUAGAGUGAAGCUUAUGCUUUUGUGUGGUAGAGACAGAGUUUUCUUAGUGCUGGUCCUAGAUUAUGGAAUUCACUCCUGCAAGAACCAAGGGUAUGUCUACACUAGAGAGACUAUACAGGCAUUGCUAUGUCACCGUAGCUAUGUUGGCAUAACCCUGUAGUAUAGAUGCUGCCUAUAUGUUGGUGUGGGAGCACCACCUCCCUGAUUGAUGGUAGCUCUAAGUCGAUGGAAACAUUCUUCUGUUGACUUAGCUUCAUCUAUACAGGGGAUUAGUUUGGCAUAACUGUGUCGCUCAGGGAGUGCUUUUUUUCCCCACACACCUGAGCAACGUAAUUAUGUUGAUCUAAUUUUUAAGUGUAGACCAAGCCUAAGAAUGGCCACAAAAGUCACCAUUUUCUGUCUAUGCAAUGCUUAUCACUUUUAUUUAUUUUACUUUCCCCUAGGCAAAGGAAUGGAGAGAACAUUUUUGGACCAACAUUAGACACAUUAUUUUUUAACUCUGCGAGGUUUUUAAAUAGUUUGGUAACUGGGAUGAUAUAAUGAUAUAAUAACCUAUACUUAGAAUAGAAUUUAUUUCUCUGAUUCUUCCCUCUAACUUCUCUGCACCAUUGAGACUCACAUUCACUCACUGGAAAUCUUCUGAUCCUGUCCUUGUACAUUAUAUGGAAACUUUAUUCAUACCUUUCUUAUUCUGCUAUUCUGCCUGAUUUACGAUGUGCAUGGGCUAAUUAGAUCAUCAGCUAGUCCAAUUGCCCCAACUUCUGCAGGGAGUCUUGGAACCAUAUCUUGGGGCAUCACUGGGAAUCUGGUAAAGUACGAAACAUUAUUUUAGUGGAGAAUGCAGAUAAACUCAAGACAAGUGAAAGACAAGUAAAUGUUGAGCAAAAAACGUUAAUGUGAACCAGGAGC
ensembl:lncRNA